GGUUAAGCGACUAAGCGUACACGGUGGAUGCCCUGGCAGUCAGAGGCGAUGAAGGACGUGCUAAUCUGCGAUAAGCGUCGGUAAGGUGAUAUGAACCGUUAUAACCGGCGAUUUCCGAAUGGGGAAACCCAGUGUGUUUCGACACACUAUCAUUAACUGAAUCCAUAGGUUAAUGAGGCGAACCGGGGGAACUGAAACAUCUAAGUACCCCGAGGAAAAGAAAUCAACCGAGAUUCCCCCAGUAGCGGCGAGCGAACGGGGAGCAGCCCAGAGCCUGAAUCAGUGUGUGUGUUAGUGGAAGCGUCUGGAAAGGCGCGCGAUACAGGGUGACAGCCCCGUACACAAAAAUGCACAUACUGUGAGCUCGAUGAGUAGGGCGGGACACGUGGUAUCCUGUCUGAAUAUGGGGGGACCAUCCUCCAAGGCUAAAUACUCCUGACUGACCGAUAGUGAACCAGUACCGUGAGGGAAAGGCGAAAAGAACCCCGGCGAGGGGAGUGAAAAAGAACCUGAAACCGUGUACGUACAAGCAGUGGGAGCCUCUUAAUGGGGUGACUGCGUACCUUUUGUAUAAUGGGUCAGCGACUUAUAUUCUGUAGCAAGGUUAACCGAAUAGGGGAGCCGAAGGGAAACCGAGUCUUAACUGGGCGUUAAGUUGCAGGGUAUAGACCCGAAACCCGGUGAUCUAGCCAUGGGCAGGUUGAAGGUUGGGUAACACUAACUGGAGGACCGAACCGACUAAUGUUGAAAAAUUAGCGGAUGACUUGUGGCUGGGGGUGAAAGGCCAAUCAAACCGGGAGAUAGCUGGUUCUCCCCGAAAGCUAUUUAGGUAGCGCCUCGUGAAUUCAUCUCCGGGGGUAGAGCACUGUUUCGGCAAGGGGGUCAUCCCGACUUACCAACCCGAUGCAAACUGCGAAUACCGGAGAAUGUUAUCACGGGAGACACACGGCGGGUGCUAACGUCCGUCGUGAAGAGGGAAACAACCCAUACCGCCAGCUAAGGUCCCAAAGUCAUGGUUAAGUGGGAAACGAUGUGGGAAGGCCCAGACAGCCAGGAUGUUGGCUUAGAAGCAGCCAUCAUUUAAAGAAAGCGUAAUAGCUCACUGGUCGAGUCGGCCUGCGCGGAAGAUGUAACGGGGCUAAACCAUGCACCGAAGCUGCGGCAGCGACGCUUAUGCGUUGUUGGGUAGGGGAGCGUUCUGUAAGCCUG
rnacentral:rRNA from 1 species